rnacentral:rRNA from 1 species
AGCCCGCUCAGAAACUUAAAUGAAUUGACGGGGCCCGCACAAGCGGUGGAGCAUGUGGUUUAAUUCGAUGCAACGCGAAGAACCUUACCUGGUCUUGACAUCCACAGAACUUGGCAGAGAUGCCUUGGUGCCUUCGGGAACUGUGAGACAGGUGCUGCAUGGCUGUCGUCAGCUCGUGUUGUGAAAUGUUGGGUUAAGUCCCGCAACGAGCGCAACCCUUAUCAUUAGUUACUAACAGGUCAUGCUGAGGACUCUAGUGAGACUGCCGUCGUAAGAUGUGAGGAAGGUGGGGAUGACGUCAAAUCAGCACGGCCCUUACGUCCGGGGCUACACACGUGUUACAAUGGGGGGUACAGAGGGCAGCUACCGGGCGACCGGAUGCCAAUCCCAAAAACCUCUCUCAGUUCGGAUCGAAGUCUGCAACCCGACUUCGUGAGGCUGGAUUCGCUAGUAAUCGCGCAUCAGCCACGGCGCGGUGAAUACGUUCCCGGGCCUU